rnacentral:rRNA from 1 species
UACGGAGGGUGCGAGCGUUGUCCGGAAUCACUGGGCGUAAAGGGCGCGUAGGUGGCCUGUGGAAGUCUGCGGUGAAAGCCCGGCGCUCAACGCCGGGUCGGCCGUGGAUACCCUCGGGCUUGAGCUUACUAGAGGCAGAUGGAAUUCCGGGUGUAGCGGUGGAAUGCGUAGAGAUCCGGAAGAACACCGGUGGCGAAGGCGGCUUACUGGUCCGGUACUGACGCUGAGGUGCGAAAGCGUGGGGAGCAAACAGG